ACAAUUUAAAUUACAGAUUGAAAGCAUUAACACUUAAUAGCAUACAUAAGGCCAGUAUAUUUACAUUUGUACUCUCAAGUAUUGAAUACAUAUUAAUAAUCUAGAUACAAGCAGUAAAACAAGGCAUUAGAAGGCCAUUCCACCUGGCAUCAUUCUACUUAUAACCAUUAUAAAGCAUCUAGAGAGAGAUAGAAACCUCGUUUAAUGAGUGGCACAAAG
rnacentral:misc_RNA from 1 species